GUGUAUAUAAAUUAUUUAUCAAUGAAUAAGAGUUAUUUAGGCAUCUUUCAUCACAAAGAUACAUCUUCCUUGUUAGAACUCUUAUGUUAUGAUGAAGUCCUUAGAACUAUAUAGUAAUUGAUAAAGGAGGAUUUAUCAUUAUUGAAAAUUGUAUCUCAAAGUCAAUCGUCAGUCUGUUGAUGGUUGUCCUAACCUAUGUAAAUAUAUAUGAAUUGAUAAAUUAAUAAAAUUACUAUUUAGCUUCUUCAUCACAAAGUAGUAUACAUCUUUUUAAUGAAAUUCAGUUAU
rnacentral:lncRNA from 1 species